AUGCAGAUUCUGAACAGAGUGCUUGAAGGAGGGGGCCGCACCGUCCACCAGCAGUUGGGAGAUCUGUCCUUGUCCACUGUUUAUGCUCUCCUGGCGACUCUGAUGCAGUGUCUGAGCAUGGGGUGCCUCUGCGUAGCCAUUUCUUUGCUCAAAUGGAUCAUAGCGGUGCAACCCUUCUAUCAUCGCCCAAACGUCUUGGUGACCUCCAGCUUUGGCAUACCCUACGACGUGUCCAUCUAUGAACCAUGGAAUCCCAACGCCACAGACUUGCGUGAUAUUCUGGUCAAGAUGAAGCAACAUGUCUUUGACCAACCUUUGAAAGUUUUGGCUGAAGCCAUUUCCUCUUUUUGGCUUAUUAACCCCAGGUAGUCAGACACCACUUCUGGGGAACUGCUCCAUCUUUUUUUUAGAAAGCUGCUAAAUGUCUCUGGCAUCUUGAACUGAAAGAGUAUUGGGUUCCAGAUGCUAGUAGAGCUUCUGCUUGAGAACUUGGAAAGCUGCUGGUGGUCAAAACAGACAGUUUUGUGGUAUACUAAUAAUCUGUCUGUCACUGUGCCAGGCCGUUUCACCCUUUCACAUCUAUACCACCAAAUGGUAUAUUGGUGAAUUCUGAAAUGGAGGCACUUCUUAUUAUAGUUUCUGGAGAAAUCUGAGAUUGGUUGAUGACAGAAAGAGAGGGACAAUGUGUGUCCGAAACAGCAUAAGGUCAAGAUUUUCUAGAUUUUUCCCCCCAGCAUCAUACAGAAACACUUCUUGUCAUGGCUUUCCACUAGAUGGGUGGCGUAUAAAUGUAAUGAACAAAUAAAUAAUUAUUCAGAAAGUUAAGCA
rnacentral:lncRNA from 1 species